GACGAACGCUGGCGGCGUGCUUAACACAUGCAAGUCGAGCGGUAAGGCCUCUUCGGGGGUACACGAGCGGCGAACGGGUGAGUAACACGUGGGUGACCUGCCCUCAGCUCUGGGAUAAGCCUGGGAAACUGGGUCUAAUACCGGACAUGACCUUUCCUCGCAUGGGGUUUGGUGGAAAGUUUUUUCGGCUGGGGAUGGGCCCGCGGCCUAUCAGCUUGUUGGUGGGGUGAUGGCCUACCAAGGCGACGACGGGUAGCCGGCCUGAGAGGGCGACCGGCCACACUGGGACUGAGACACGGCCCAGACUCCUACGGGAAGCAGCAGUGGGGAAUAUUGCGCAAUGGGCGGAAGCCUGACGCAGCGACGCCGCGUGGGGAUGACGGCCUUCGGGUUGUAAACCUCUUUCGACCCCGACGAAUUUGGACGGCAGGGGUAGAAGAAGCACCGGCCAACUACGUG
rnacentral:rRNA from 1 species